AACCAUAGAAACCUGCGGAGUACCUGCGGAGGGAUCAUUAUAGUAUAUGGAAUCUCCAUUCUAUAAACCCACUCUGCGUAUCUUGUAACUGUUGCUUCCAUGGGACUUGGUUCCGCCACACCGGCUUCACGGCUGGUGAGCGCCCAUGGGAGGAGAAACAAAACUCUUCUUUGAAAUGUAGUCAGUCUGAACAAGUUUUUAUAAACGUUAAAACUUUUAGCAAUGGAUCUCAGAUCGGAA
rnacentral:misc_RNA from 1 species